GUUCCACGGCCGGACUCGGAGCGUGAGCGCAGCCCUCUCCCGAGGGAGGAUGAGGGUCCGCAGUGUCUGGGAUGAGGGCCCGCAGCGGCUGGGACGAGGGCCUGCAGUGUCUGGGAUGAGGGCCCGCAGCGGCUGGGACGAGGGCCUGCAGUGUCUGGGGUGAGGGCUCGCAGCGGCUGGGACGAGGGCCUGCAGUGUCUGGGGUGAGGGCCCGCAGUGUCUGGGAUGAGGGCCCGCAGUGUCUGGGACGAGGGCCGCUCCCUCCGGGCUCCGCCGCCACCGGCAGGGGUCGGCCCAGGAGCGCUCGGAAGGCCAACACUGCCAGGGACAGGUGCAGAUGGGUCCCCAGAAAAGUGCUUGAGAAGAAUAUGCCUACAUAGAUGUGCCUAGCUUCGCCACGUGUCCGUGCUGUUACAGCGCUGCUCCCGGCCUGGCCAGUCCUAGAGGCAGGGAGAAGUCGGAGGCGCAGCAGCAGCGCUCUGGGUGCAGUGCACCGCGGCUUCACAGGAGGGAGCCUGACCUGCCAUCUACAACUGUCUAAUAACUGAAAUAACCCAAAAAAACAACCAGUUCCUUGUUACUUUACUUUUGUAAGCAUAGUUAAAUGCCACCUGCCCCACUUGUUGCCUCAGGGAACAGAGGGAAGCAAAUGUGGAGUAGCUGAUACUGUACUGCCACACUAACCUCAAAUUUGCUUCUGUCUCCUGAGCCCUGCACAGACAGGUUUGAAAACACGGCAUACUGAAAUAAGAAAUUGGUGGAAAAUAAGAUUUAGCCUUCAAAAUGGCACAAAAUUUUACCUAGUCUCUAAUGAAUCAACUCUGCAGCCAAAGUUAUGGCUUUUGCGGAUGAAAUAAAGGCAGCUGCUGCAAUUUGCAACAACGGCAAGAUACUGCAAAGCACACUGGGUAUGCCAAUGGAAAGUUAUUAAGUUUGAAGGAGAGAUGUCCAAACAACUCUAAAAUAUGCAAAGAAAGCUCAAUCAAAAUAUAAAAUCAUCUUCUCACCCCUCAACUCAAAUUAUAGAUUGCAAAGCUUCCAGCUGCUUAGAAUCUGAAGAUAAAUUAAGUAAUAUUUGGAAGACCAGCACCACUGCUACAUGUGAGUCCUCUUCCUGGAAUAAUGUGGAGUAUAAAUUGCGUUGCUCUCUGCUGCCUUAGACUUGGCAUGCUCUGAUUUUUUGUAGACAGUGUGCAUGCCAAGUCUGGUCAGCAUUAGACAGCUACAAAAAGUUCAAAUUAGAGACAUAAUUUCAAGAAAUGCAGUCAUUAAAUGUCUGAAGCAUUUGAACUUCGGGACUUAUUUUGGUGAGAUUAUGUAAAUGAUGGCUGUAAAUAAAAUAUUUCUUAGUAAUGUUCAGCAAGAAAAGCUACUUCUCUCCUAAGCUAAAUAUUCUUAUGAGAAUGUCAAACUCACAUGAUCGAUUUAUGAAGUGACACAGUAGCUGGAUGUGUGAUUCUUUCUCUUUUAUUCUGAAUAAAUUGAGAAAAAAACCCCACAGAUAUAAAGAGAAAAUUGUUUGAAAUACAGGUUUUUUUCAUAAAGACUGUAUCUAAGCUUAGUAGCUAAUUGUGCUCUGACAGUAGUUCAUCAUGGUCUACUCCUGUCACUGUUUGGAAUAACAGAUAUUUUUCUGCAUUAUAUAGGAAGAAGUAGUAGUCCAUCUUUGCAAAAUAUGUGGAGAAUGGGGUUUUUCAUCUCAGUUCCUUAUUUGUGGUGAUCUUAUACAUGCAACUUUCCCUUGGAAUGUUCUUUGACUCAUCAAAAUGUGAAACUGGGAUUCUCCCAAGGUAAUAGUUUAAUUAAAUUUUGCAAAGCACUUUCACAUUUCAAAAAUCAGUUGAAGUAAGUUCAGUUACCUUCAGAGAAGUUGCAAGAACCAUUGUAUAUUUCUGAACUUAUUUUGCAAAUAUUUUCACACAAUGAUGCUGAACAUUCAUGUUUUAGAAAAGGUGCGACUCUUUUCUGUACAUAGAUUGCUUUUCUUCUUCUCCUCCACCUUUCCCUUCAGACUGCUAGGCCUGAGGAAUUACAAUUUUGCAUCUAAUUAAUUCUACUGUUGCUUGACUGCAUCUGUUUGAAAUAUGUAUAAAACCUCUGAUACAGGUAGAAAAACAUUGAUUGUUUUCCUACGUUUCUAUUUAUUGUGCAGAACUGUGAGAUGUUUUGUAUUAAAAAUAUUGGAUCAUUGAA